GUAGCUCGGGCGCGGCCGGCCCGCGCGGGGACAGUCGGGCCUGGGGGCGGGACCCCCACGACCUUGUGUCGCGUUGUCAAGGGCGACGGCCGUUCGCGCGGGGCCGCCCGGGCAAUAGCCCGCAACUGGGCCUCCGUAUGUGCGUCCCAGAAACCGGGUGCAGAUAUUCGCACCCUCCGCGAACAGCGUGAAAAAGCGGCUCCGCGGCAGAAGCAGCUAACAUCUUCGGGGUCUUUGUCCCCGGCCUCUGGUCCAGACUGCUGGAAGUCAGUCUCUUCCAACCAAGUCAGGCCAGAUAGCUAAAAAGUGUGAAAAAGGAGAAUUUCGGGCUUGGCUUGCUUACACCAAAACUCUGGAGCCAAGGCCCACCAGCAAAACUGGGCUUAUGCAUUCAUUCCAAUUCUCUUGCCCUCCUGGAGGUGAAUUUGGUUGCGGAUUCGGACCGUCAACGUCACAGAGCUCCAAGCCACGUAAAACGCAGAUUUCUCUGGCAACGCCUGAAGUGGGGCUCAGGCGGCCCCCUGAUGACUGAGGUACACUGAAGACUGGCUGCCACAAACGAGUGGUAAAUAACUGCACAGAAACGAGUUGAGAUUGUGACAGGAUCUGCAAAGGACAGGAGCUGGGAGAGUGUCCUCCAGUGGGGCCUGGACGUAGCUGAGGCCGCGCGGGAGGGGAUGUGACGGGGAAUACUUAACACGAGGAAGGUGUCAAGCAUGAUUGCCAAGUUCCAGGCUUAAGCAGCUGAGAAGGGGAAUCUUGAAGAGACACACAGCUAGUCCCAGACAUAGGGUUCCCAGGAAGUCACUGAACGGAGGGGUCUCAGCCUCACAUUUCAUGUGUUGUUCACUCCACUCAGGCAACCAUCUCUGUAAGAAUCAAGAUGCUAGCAAGAUCCCGGAUAAUUUAUCUGCACGCACGUUAAGCUUGAGAUGGAAGCACUGUCCCUCGGGACACACGGCACUAGAGGAUCGCGUGUUUCCUCAACAGUGGAACGGCCUGCGAUCCUCGACCUGACGGAGAGACCAGCUGGACCCAUCUUUGAACCUUGCCUCACUUGUCGCUGCUCAGGAGCCAAUCAAUAAACAUUUCCUGAGUGGACAGACCCGGUGCUUCUCUGAACAUCAGCUGGAGGCAGCAGGCGUGCUCAUUCCCAGGGGAAAGGGUCUGCGGCUCGAUGCCACCCACUGCCCGCUUCCCACAUGAGGACCCCUCCUCCUCGCCCAGGAAACCACAGCUCAGAACUCAAGUAUCUGGAGGGCGGGGAACAGUGAGAAGCAGCCCCCCAGGAACCCGAUAGUCCCCUGUGCUCUCGAGGGUGGAGACCUGACUGUCACGGGUGAUCCCGUUUCUGGUGGCUGAGCUCCUGUCAGCUCUGAGUGCCUCCUGAGUGGCCCCCUGGGCCCCCCUGCUCUUUUCUCUACAUCUCUUGGCUUUGGGAGCACAGCUGCGGUGCUGGCAUCUGAUCCCCAGGACUCUCCCUCUCCGUGCAGUGGCAUGAGGCAGCCCUCUUCUGUGGCCUUACCCCUAGUCUUCUGUGGCCCCAACCCUGUGCCCAGGUGUGAGGGGAGCCUGCAUGGGCUCAGAAAGGACCCCACAGGCCCCUUGCCAUCUUUUCCGGGAGUAUCCUCUCUCUGGACAGUUUCCUGAAUGACUUGUGGGACGCAGGGCCCUCACCUCACUUGCAACAUUCCCUAAAUAUGACCACCUUCCUCGAGGACCCUUUAUUGGAUCCAUAUCAUCAAUCUGCUUAUAUAUCACCACUAUAAAAAGUUUACAAGCCAUGGGGACCCAUGAUCAGACAUUAAACCCCUUUCCACACCUAAGCGCUCUCUAGGCAUCAGGUGGGAGGUGGGUCAGGGGUCAUCUACACCGGGAGCUGGAAGCUGUGGCUACUCUCAUUGACUGACACUGUCAUCCUUUCUUCUCUGGUGCCAAAGUAGCCACAUGGUCCUUUGUGAGGACCUGUGACCACCUACCACUGUCAGUGAUGCUCAAGAGGCUAUGCUGUACCACAGUGUCCGUCUCGCCAGGGUACCCCAGAGCUCACAGCGAACCUGUGGAAUAGAAGCCGUGCGGGGCGGAGGUGGGGGAGGGGAUGGUCAUAGGACUAUUCUCAAGGCUGGAGGAAAAGCUCCUUUCCAGCACAAGGCGCGAGUCUGACUGGGGCCCACGUCCGCCCUGGGUGCUCAUGAAUUCAGGCCAGAUGCUGCCUCUGUUCUCCCACCUUACAGAGGGGUGGACACACAUCUGAACAGCACUUGUUACCUAGUGUUGCUACUUUUCACAAGGCUGGGAAGGCAGAGGGGCUUGCUC
ensembl:lncRNA